AAAGGAAUAGACGGGGACCCGCACAAGCAGCGGAGCAUGUGGUUUAAUUCGAAGCAACGCGAAAAACCUUACCAAGAUUUGACAUGACAGUGCAUAGUAUGGAAACAUAUGAAUUUAUAGCAAUAUAACACUGCCACAGAUGGUGCAUGGUUGUCGUCAGCUCGUGUCGUGAGAUGUUGGGUUAAGUCCCGCAACGAGCGCAACCCCUGUUUUUAGUUGCCAGCAUUAAGUUGGGCACUCUAGAGAAACUGCCGUAGAUAAUACGGAGGAAGGUGGGGAUGACGUCAAAUCAUCAUGCCUCUUACAUUUUGGGCUACACACGUGCUACAAUGGCUAGUACAAAGAGUUGCAAUAUGGUAACAUGGAGCCAAUCUCAAAAAACUAGUCUCAAUUCAGAUUGUGGGCUGCAACCCGCCCACAUGAAGUCGGAGUUGCUAGUAAUCCCGGAUCAGCACGCCGGGGUGAAUGCGUUCUCGGGUCUUGUACACACCGCCCGU
rnacentral:rRNA from 1 species